UACGGGGGGUGCGAGCGUUGUCCGGAAUCACUGGGCGUAAAGGGUGCGUAGGUGGUCUGUUAAGUCAGUGGUGAAAUCCCGCGGCCCAACCGUGGAACUGCCAUCGAUACUGGCGGACUUGAGUGCGUGAGGGGUUACCGGAACGAGCAGUGUAGCGGUGAAAUGCGUAGAUAUUGCUCGAAAGGCCAGAGGCGAAGGCGGGUAACUGGCACGCAACUGACACUGAGGCACGAAAGCGUGGGGAGCAAACAGG
rnacentral:rRNA from 1 species